rnacentral:rRNA from 1 species
GAUGAACGCUAGCUACAGGCUUAACACAUGCAAGUCGAACGGAGUUAUGCAGAGGAAGUUUUCGGAUGGAGUCGGCGUAACUUAGUGGCGGACGGGUGAGUGACGCGUGGGAAACCUGCCCUGUACCGGGGGAUAACACUUAGAAAUAGGUGCUAAUACCGCAUAAGCGCACAGCUUCACAUGAGGCAGUGUGAAAAACUCCGGUGGUACAGGAUGGUCCCGCGUCUGAUUAGCCAGUUGGCAGGGUAACGGCCUACCAAAGCGACGAUCAGUAGCCGGCCUGAGAGGGUGAACGGGCCACAUUGGGACUGAGACACGGGCCCAAACUCCUACGGGAGGCAGCAGUGGGGAAUAUUAGCACAAUGGGGGAAACCCUGAUGCAGCG